UACAGAGGUCCCAAGCGUUGUUCGGAUUCACUGGGCGUAAGGGGAGCGUAGGUGGGGUGGUAAGUCAGUGGUGAAAUCUCCGGGCUUAACUCGGAAACUGCCGUUGAUACUAUCAUUCUUGAAUAUUGUGGAGGUCAGCGGAAUAUGUCAUGUAGCGGUGAAAUGCUUAGAUAUGACAUAGAACACCAAUUGCGAAGGCAGCUGGCUACACAUAUAUUGACACUGAGGCACGAAAGCGUGGGGAUCAAACAGG
rnacentral:rRNA from 1 species